UGCGCGAGUCGCAGGGUUGUACGAAACCCGAGGGCGUAACGAAAGUGAAACGGAUCUUCGGAUCUACAGGUGGGAUCCCGAAGCACAUUUGCGACGGGCGCACCACCGGCCUGUCUCAGCCGCCACGUCGGCGAGGCGGAGCAAGAGCGUACGCGUUGGGACCCGAAAGAUGGUGAACUAUGCCUGAGCAGGAUGAAGCCAGAAGAAAUUCUG
rnacentral:rRNA from 1 species